AUGCAUGUCUAAGUACAGCUCGGUGGAGCAAUCUACCGGGCGAAACCGCGGACGGCUCAUUAAAUCAGUCGUGGUCUAAAUGGGCUAAAGUUUCCUUUUGGAUAACUGUGGAAAAUCCAGAGCUAAUACAUGCAUUUUACGAGUCCUGAGCCAAAGCCCUUUGUUCGUUCGCGGAGACUGGGUUACUAACUCGGGAUGCUUUUAUUAGACCGAGGCGCGCGCAUACUCGGUUUAGCCUUACGUGGAUUCGCGUUCGCGUUUGGCGGCCGUUUGUGUGUCGUUGUGUAAGCGCUAAAUGGUGAACCCUGGAUAACACUUGAUGAGCGUGCCUAUUCGGCACGCCGCCUACUUACGAGUGACUGCCCUAUCAGCUAGUAACGUAUGUUAUACGCGAACGCUGGCGGUAACGGGUAACGGGGAAUCAGAGUUCGAUUCCGGAGAGGCAGCCUGAGAAACGGCUACCACG
rnacentral:rRNA from 3 species